UCCGGCUUACCACCGGCGGUCCCAUUAGAGUGCCCAACUUAAUGAUGGCAACUAAUGGCGAGGGUUGCGCUCGUUGCGGGACUUAACCCAACAUCUCACGACACGAGCUGACGACAGCCAUGCAGCACCUGUGUUCCCGCCAGCCGAACUGAAGGACCGCGUCUCCACGGACCAUACGGGACAUGUCAAGGGCUGGUAAGGUUCUUCGCGUUGCAUCGAAUUAAUCCACAUCAUCCGCCGCUUGUGCGGGUCCCCGUCAAUUCCUUUGAGUUUUAAUCUUGCGACCGUACUCCCCAGGCGGUCUACUUCACACGUUAGCUGCGUUACCAAGUUAAUUAAAACCCGACAACUAGUAGACAUCGUUUAGGGCGUGGACUAC
rnacentral:misc_RNA from 1 species